GGAGGCGUGGCAGAGUGGUUGAAUGCAGCGUCCUGCUAAGACGUUAAGGGCCAAAAGCCCUUCGGAGGUUCGAAUCCUCCCGCCUCCG
rnacentral:tRNA from 1 species